rnacentral:rRNA from 1 species
UACACUCCUGCGGGAGGCAGCAGUGGGGAAUUUUGGCCAAUGGGCGAAAGCCUGAUCCAGCAAUGCCGCGUGUGUGAAGAAGGCCUUCGGGUUGUAAAGCACUUUUGUCCGGAAAGAAAUCCUUGGCUCUAAUACAGUCGAGGGAUGACGGUACCGGAAGAAUAAGCACCGGCUAACUACGUGCCAGCAGCCGCGGUAAUACGUAGGGUGCGAGCGUUAAUCGGAAUUACUGGGCGUAAAGCGUGCGCAGGCGGUUUGCUAAGACCGAUGUGAAAUCCCCGGGCUCAACCUGGGAACUGCAUUGGUGACUGGCAGGCUAGAGUAUGGCAGAGGGGGGUAGAAUUCCACGUGUAGCAGUGAAAUGCGUAGAGAUGUGGAGGAAUACCGAUGGCGAAGGCAGCCCCCUGGGCCAAUACUGACGCUCAUGCACGAAAGCGUGGGGAGCAAACAGGAUUAGAUACCCCUGUAGUCCC